UACGGAGGGAGCUAGCGUUGUUCGGAAUUACUGGGCGUAAAGCGCACGUAGGCGGCUAUUCAAGUCGGGGGUGAAAGCCCGGGGCUCAACCCCGGAACUGCCCUCGAAACUAGAUAGCUAGAAUCUUGGAGAGGCGAGUGGAAUUCCGAGUGUAGAGGUGAAAUUCGUAGAUAUUCGGAAGAACACCAGAGGCGAAGGCGACUCGCUGGACAAGUAUUGACGCUGAGGUGCGAAAGCGUGGGGAGCAAACAGG
rnacentral:rRNA from 1 species